GGAUGUUGGUGGAACCUCGUACUUGCUCAGAGUGAGAUAGGUCGACUGCACAGUCCCCACCUGGUGGGUGAGAUCCGGGCGUCGAUGGGGGCGAGCUCGGGGCCUCGCCGGAGUUCGGGCCAGGAGCCAGAUGGCACGGGCGACGGAGCGGACCGCCUCAGCGACCUCCCGGACGACGUGCUCCUCCUCGUCCUCGCCCGCCUCCCUUGCGCCGCCGCCGCCGCCCGCACCGGAGUCCUCUCCCGCCGGUGGCGCGGCCUCUGGGCCCGCCUCCGCCAGAUCGUCCUCCGCGACGUGCCCUUCCCCUCGAUCGAGGCUCCCUCCUCCCCCGCCCGCGGUUUCCCUCCUCAAGAUCCGCGUCCCCCAGAGGCAGCGGCGCAGCAGGGGCUUUCCCAGCCCCAAGAAGCAGCGGGUAGACAGCGCCGGCGUCAACUCGCUGCUCCGCGCCGCCGCGCGGCUCGAGCCGGAGAGUCUCGAAUUCCGCCUCCCCGCGGACUUAAUCGGCCGUUCCCGCCUCGCCGUCGACCUGCCUCGCCUGGACGGCGCCACCUCCAUCGCGCUGGACUUCGCCUCCCCCUUCUCCCUCCGCGUGCCGGCCGGCGCCGAGUUCCCCGCACUCGAGGCGCUGUCCCUGACGUACAGCGUCACCGACCUCGACGCCUUGCUCUCCUGCUGCCCGCGCCUGCGCACGCUCCGCCUCUGCAGGGCUUUGUUUCCCAACCAUAAGUGCGACGUCAGGGUCAGCUCCCCGUCGCUGCAGGAGCUUGUUGUGUGCCGCGAGCUCAGCUUGACACAGCGUGUCGACAUCGUCGCGCCGGCGCUUAAGCAAUUGACCAUGUCAUUUAGCACGAUGGAGCUGAUCAGCAGCUCUGUCUUGGCACCAUUGGUGGAAAAGGUUUCGUGGCACUGCUACUACUUGGGGCCGUAUGUUGCGUUUGGUCUUUGGGGCAUCAGCAAGCUGCGGCUACAGACGGCAGACAGACAAGAACAGAUGUCCUCGCUGCAAAGUCAUGCCUGGGCGGACACGUCUCUUUUUUACGCCGAUGCGGGCAACUUCGCGCAGGAGAUAAAGAAACAUAUGGUUGCCGCCUUCUCUGUUUUAGAGCUGCAUCUCACAGCAAAGGGCAUGCUUUUGGAGCGUUUGUGUUUCAUCUCCUUGGGAUGGAUCGGAUUCGUACUGCUACGCGGAGGCUUAAGGUCGUCCUAGAGAGAUCAGCGAUGAAAGGAGGAUGCCUGCCACUUUGUCCUUGUGGGUUUCCGAACUGGAAGUCCCAAAUUAUCUGCUUGGCUGCUCUCGAAGAAGUGGAGUUCAAUGGCUUCGAAGGAAAGGAUCAUGAGUUUGAUUUAGUGAAAUUGAUAAUCGGAUGUGCACCGAUGUUAAAAAGAAUGAUUGUGAAGCUGUCACAAGAGACCUCGGCAAGUAAUGAUGGAUGCGCAAAGAUACACAACAUCUUCAAGUAAUGUUGUGUGCCGCGAGCUCAGCUUGACACAGCGUGUCGACAUCGUCGCGCCGGCGCUUAAGCAAUUGACCAUGUCAUUUAGCACGAUGGAGCUGAUCAGCAGCUCUGUCUUGGCACCAUUGGUGGAAAAGGUUUCGUGGCACUGCUACUACUUGGGGCCGUAUGUUGCGUUUGGUCUUUGGGGCAUCAGCAAGCUGCGGCUACAGACGGCAGACAGACAAGAACAGAUGUCCUCGCUGCAAAGUCAUGCCUGGGCGGACACGUCUCUUUUUUACGCCGAUGCGGGCAACUUCGCGCAGGAGAUAAAGAAACAUAUGGUUGCCGCCUUCUCUGUUUUAGAGCUGCAUCUCACAGCAAAGGGCAUGCUUUUGGAGCGUUUGUGUUUCAUCUCCUUGGGAUGGAUCGGAUUCGUACUGCUACGCGGAGGCUUAAGGUCGUCCUAGAGAGAUCAGCGAUGAAAGGAGGAUGCCUGCCACUUUGUCCUUGUGGGUUUCCGAACUGGAAGUCCCAAAUUAUCUGCUUGGCUGCUCUCGAAGAAGUGGAGUUCAAUGGCUUCGAAGGAAAGGAUCAUGAGUUUGAUUUAGUGAAAUUGAUAAUCGGAUGUGCACCGAUGUUAAAAAGAAUGAUUGUGAAGCUGUCACAAGAGACCUCGGCAAGUAAUGAUGGAUGCGCAAAGAUACACAACAUCUUCAAGUAAUGUUGUGUGCCGCGAGCUCAGCUUGACACAGCGUGUCGACAUCGUCGCGCCGGCGCUUAAGCAAUUGACCAUGUCAUUUAGCACGAUGGAGCUGAUCAGCAGCUCUGUCUUGGCACCAUUGGUGGAAAAGGUUUCGUGGCACUGCUACUACUUGGGGCCGUAUGUUGCGUUUGGUCUUUGGGGCAUCAGCAAGCUGCGGCUACAGACGGCAGACAGACAAGAACAGAUGUCCUCGCUGCAAAGUCAUGCCUGGGCGGACACGUCUCUUUUUACGCCGAUGCGGGCAACUUCGCGCAGGAGAUAAAGAAACAUAUGGUUGCCGCCUUCUCUGUUUUAGAGCUGCAUCUCACAGCAAAGGGCAUGCUUUUGGAGCGUUUGUGUUUCAUCUCCUUGGGAUGGAUCGGAUUCGUACUGCUACGCGGAGGCUUAAGGUCGUCCUAGAGAGAUCAGCGAUGAAAGGAGGAUGCCUGCCACUUUGUCCUUGUGGGUUUCCGAACUGGAAGUCCCAAAUUAUCUGCUUGGCUGCUCUCGAAGAAGUGGAGUUCAAUGGCUUCGAAGGAAAGGAUCAUGAGUUUGAUUUAGUGAAAUUGAUAAUCGGAUGUGCACCGAUGUUAAAAAGAAUGAUUGUGAAGCUGUCACAAGAGACCUCGGCAAGUAAUGAUGGAUGCGCAAAGAUACACAACAUCUUCAAGGCAUGUUCUUCUGUGGAAUGUGAUGUUUAUGACAGCUCUGGGUUAAUGCUUGGUUGCUUCAGCUGAUCAUCUGGCGUGCUCUUUUGCCAUAUACAUGGUGCUCAGAUAAAUCUUGAAGUUAAUGCACUCUACCUGUAACGUCAGUCAAGCUGAUUAUCAUGUUAAGCCUAUGGUUUCAAUUCCUAGUUUGCGUUGUUUCAUUGCAAUGACGCACUGCAUGUUUUCAGCGGGAGUAAGAUGAUCUGCAGUGAAUGUGCUUCCCAUUACAGCUCUUUCUGCUUAUAGAUGAAUGUGCUUCCCAUUACAGCUCUUUCUGCCUAUAGGUGUGAUAGAUGAACCAAACGGCUCUGUGGGAUAUAUAGCUCAGCAUCUUAAACUGAGAAUUAUCCCCUCUUUUCCAACUACUGCACCUUGUAUGAUGGACUGAAGAUGCAUCUUUGUGUCACUUCUGUUUUAGCAGAAUAUGUGUCAUCUUGUGUA